rnacentral:rRNA from 1 species
AGCGAACGCUGGCGGCAGGCUUAACACAUGCAAGUCGAGCGGGCAUCCUUGUGGUGUCAGCGGCAGACGGGUGAGUAACGCGUGGGAACGUGCCCUUCGGUUCGGAAUAACUCAGGGAAACUUGAGCUAAUACCGGAUACGUGCGAGAGCAGAAAGGUUUAUCUGCCGAAGGAUCGGCCCGCGUCUGAUUAGCUAGUUGGUGAGGGUACGGCUCACCAAGGCGACGAUCAGUAGCUGGUCUGAGAGGAUGAUCAGCCACACUGGGACUGAGACACGGCCCAGACUCCUACGGGAAGCAGCAGUGGGGAAUAUUGGACAAUGGGGGCAACCCUGAUCCAGCCAUGCCUCGUGAGUGAUGACGGCCUUAGGGUUGUACAGCUCUUUUCUCCGGGACGAUAAUGACGGUACCGGAGGAAUAGGCCCCGGCUAACUUCGUG